UGGUAUAGUAGCUGGAAAAAAGUACAAGCAGGCAGCAUGGGAGGCUGCCCACGGGGCAAGUUAACUGAGUUGUUUUCCUCGCAAGUAAUCUCUUUAGCAUCCUUAGUGGAUGGGCUUUGGUUGUGAUUUGUAACAACAAUCAUGUAAUGGUGUUAGUCUGUGCUGGCACCUAUCGCCACAUGUUGUUUGAACUCUCUAAUUUUAUUAUAAUGAUACAGCACUCUCCUAAUCUUUAUCUAAAUUAUCACCAAUGCCAUAACAAAUAUAAUAUAGAGUAACUUCAUACAUUUGCAUAUAAACUUCCCACUAUUAUUAAAAAUGACUUAAUAUAAACCGUGCACAUAUACCAUUACAAAAAAAAUCUAAUGUAGUUCUCUAAAUCUGAAUAUAAAAUACCCAC
rnacentral:lncRNA from 1 species